GCCAUCUUUCUUCCAAGCUUUAACGAACAGUAUAAAUUAAGGAGGGGCUAUACAUGGUCGGCCAGAUUAUCAAAAUAAAUCAAGAGGUAUAAUUCAUAUAAACUAUAGAAAUGAAAUUCGGUUUACACAA